AGAUGCUUCCAUGAUAGAAUAUCCUGAGUUGGAAAGAACCCACAAGGAUCACCAAGUAUGCAUUCAAUAGUUGGCUGAAGGGCCUGAAGUGCUUCCAUGUGCUUUUAGGAUUUGCAAGUUCCAGAGCAUUUCCAUGAAAGGUUAACUAUUCUCUUCCAAAAUAUUAACUAUAUUACUAUUAAUUCAAUUAAUGUAAGUACCAAUUGUUUUAAAAACUAAUUUUGAAUCCAGAACAAAAGGAAUUCCUCAGUUUUGAAACAUCCUGCACUAUACUUACUUGUGAAUGUGUUUCAAUGUUUGUAUAAUCUUUGGAUGACUUGUAUUUAUUUUAAAUGUUUCACAUAUGUUUGAGUAUCUGUUAUAUAUUGCUAAUGACUUAUUUUAAAUAAGAAAAUUUGGCAACAAUGAUCUAUCUAAUUUUCUUGUUGUGGUAUGAUUUUAGUUUUUCAAAUCUGUAUUUACCUUCUGUUAUAUUUGCAUAUACAUAUUUUGUCAGAAUUGUCAGAGCUUUCCUUCAAUUUAAUUAGCCCACAGAAAAGAGUGGAAAUCUUUUUUAAUUAAAAUAACAUUUAUUAAGAUUU